UCCAGGUGAGAAUAUGAUCUGCUUUUGCAAGGAAAAGUGUGAAUGUGAAAAAAGUGAAGUGGCAAUGGAAGUAAACCUUCAGUCAAGGUAAUGGAGGGUCAAUCAAGCCAAAUACUCAUAAAAAUCUACACAGCAACCACAUCAAUCUUAAGCCUAACCAACAUUUUUAAACCAUGGAAUCCUCUCAAGGGGUUCAUUUUUUAUGGGUUGUAAUUUUAUUUUACAAUAAAUUAAAAGAAUUAUACAUUUGAUCAAGUACUUCAUUGUUUUAAAAGUAAAAAAAAAAAUAACAACACUUGCAACAUAAUAGAAAAAGCUAUCAACAAAAAUUUAAUGGUCAUAUAUUAGAUAUUAAAACUAAAUAUUUUUUUCUGAAUCUUAAUACCUGUGCAACUCUCAAUGGCAUGGUAAAAUAGAUUAUUCUAACAGAGCACUUUUAUAGUUCUGUAUUGUUAGAGACCAAGACAAAAUUUUAAUCUCAAAUAAUUAGCAUCUGAAUUUAUAAACCCCAAUUCAGGACAUGAUUACAAUUGCCAAUAACUAUGAUGGGAUGACAGUGAGGUCCAGAUUGUCAUGUUGGCAAGGACUUGCAGCAUUGCAACCAGGGAUUCUGCAAAGCCCAAUCCGAGUUCAAUACUCUGUUUCCAAGACACCAUCAAUGAGCCCGAACUCCAUAGCCUGUGAGAGGAAAAUAGCACACUGGUUAUUCUUUUCUUUCAUUCAUAGAAAGUUUCAAUGCCUGUACAUUUUAAAAGCAUAAAGAUAUCACUGUAUCAGGCCCUUAAGAAGG
rnacentral:lncRNA from 1 species